AAUUAAUGAACUUGUUAUAAGUAUAUAUUUUGAAAAUAUAAAAAAGAAGAAAAUCCUUCUAUUAAUUU
rnacentral:tRNA from 1 species